rnacentral:tRNA from 1 species
GGGCGUGUAGCUCAGAUGGUAGAGCGCUCGAUUUGCAACGAGUACGUUAUCAUGACGUCAUUCCCCAGCCUUCGAGAGGUAAAGGGAUCGAUACCCUUCUCGUCCA